GGUUAAGCGACUAAGCGUACACGGUGGAUGCCCUGGCAGUCAGAGGCGAUGAAGGACGUGCUAAUCUGCGAUAAGCGUCGGUAAGGUGAUAUGAACCGUUAUAACCGGCGAUUUCCGAAUGGGGAAACCCAGUGUGUUUCGACACACUAUCAUUAACUGAAUCCAUAGGUUAAUGAGGCGAACCGGGGGAACUGAAACAUCUAAGUACCCCGAGGAAAAGAAAUCAACCGAGAUUCCCCCAGUAGCGGCGAGCGAACGGGGAGCAGCCCAGAGCCUGAAUCAGUGUGUGUGUUAGUGGAAGCGUCUGGAAAGGCGCGCGAUACAGGGUGACAGCCCCGUACACAAAAAUGCACAUGCUGUGAGCUCGAUGAGUAGGGCGGGACACGUGGUAUCCUGUCUGAAUAUGGGGGGACCAUCCUCCAAGGCUAAAUACUCCUGACUGACCGAUAGUGAACCAGUACCGUGAGGGAAAGGCGAAAAGAACCCCGGCGAGGGGAGUGAAAAAGAACCUGAAACCGUGUACGUACAAGCAGUGGGAGCCUCUUUUAUGGGGUGACUGCGUACCUUUUGUAUAAUGGGUCAGCGACUUAUAUUCUGUAGCAAGGUUAACCGAAUAGGGGAGCCGAAGGGAAACCGAGUCUUAACUGGGCGUUAAGUUGCAGGGUAUAGACCCGAAACCCGGUGAUCUAGCCAUGGGCAGGUUGAAGGUUGGGUAACACUAACUGGAGGACCGAACCGACUAAUGUUGAAAAAUUAGCGGAUGACUUGUGGCUGGGGGUGAAAGGCCAAUCAAACCGGGAGAUAGCUGGUUCUCCCCGAAAGCUAUUUAGGUAGCGCCUCGUGAAUUCAUCUCCGGGGGUAGAGCACUGUUUCGGCAAGGGGGUCAUCCCGACUUACCAACCCGAUGCAAACUGCGAAUACCGGAGAAUGUUAUCACGGGAGACACACGGCGGGUGCUAACGUCCGUCGUGAAGAGGGAAACAACCCAGACCGCCAGCUAAGGUCCCAAAGUCAUGGUUAAGUGGGAAACGAUGUGGGAAGGCCCAGACAGCCAGGAUGUUGGCUUAGAAGCAGCCAUCAUUUAAAGAAAGCGUAAUAGCUCACUGGUCGAGUCGGCCUGCGCGGAAGAUGUAACGGGGCUAAACCAUGCACCGAAGCUGCGGCAGCGACACUGUGUGUUGUUGGGUAGGGGAGCGUUCUGUAAGCCUGUGAAGGUGUACUGUGAGGUAUGCUGGAGGUAUCAGAAGUGCGAAUGCUGACAUAAGUAACGAUAAAGCGGGUGAAAAGCCCGCUCGCCGGAAGACCAAGGGUUCCUGUCCAACGUUAAUCGGGGCAGGGUGAGUCGACCCCUAAGGCGAGGCCGAAAGGCGUAGUCGAUGGGAAACAGGUUAAUAUUCCUGUACUUGGUGUUACUGCGAAGGGGGGACGGAGAAGGCUAUGUUGGCCGGGCGACGGUUGUCCCGGUUUAAGCGUGUAGGCUGGUUUUCCAGGCAAAUCCGGAAAAUCAAGGCUGAGGCGUGAUGACGAGGCACUACGGUGCUGAAGCAACAAAUGCCCUGCUUCCAGGAAAAGCCUCUAAGCAUCAGGUGACAUCAAAUCGUACCCCAAACCGACACAGGUGGUCAGGUAGAGAAUACCAAGGCGCUUGAGAGAACUCGGGUGAAGGAACUAGGCAAAAUGGUGCCGUAACUUCGGGAGAAGGCACGCUGAUAUGUAGGUGAAGUCCCUCGCGGAUGGAGCUGAAAUCAGUCGAAGAUACCAGCUGGCUGCAACUGUUUAUUAAAAACACAGCACUGUGCAAACACGAAAGUGGACGUAUACGGUGUGACGCCUGCCCGGUGCCGGAAGGUUAAUUGAUGGGGUCAGCGCAAGCGAAGCUCUUGAUCGAAGCCCCGGUAAACGGCGGCCGUAACUAUAACGGUCCUAAGGUAGCGAAAUUCCUUGUCGGGUAAGUUCCGACCUGCACGAAUGGCGUAAUGAUGGCCAGGCUGUCUCCACCCGAGACUCAGUGAAAUUGAACUCGCUGUGAAGAUGCAGUGUACCCGCGGCAAGACGGAAAGACCCCGUGAACCUUUACUAUAGCUUGACACUGAACAUUGAGCCUUGAUGUGUAGGAUAGGUGGGAGGCUUAGAAGUGUGGACGCCAGUCUGCAUGGAGCCGACCUUGAAAUACCACCCUUUAAUGUUUGAUGUUCUAACGUUGACCCGUGAUCCGGGUUGCGGACAGUGUCUGGUGGGUAGUUUGACUGGGGCGGUCUCCUCCUAAAGAGUAACGGAGGAGCACGAAGGUUGGCUAAUCCUGGUCGGACAUCAGGAGGUUAGUGCAAUGGCAUAAGCCAGCUUGACUGCGAGCGUGACGGCGCGAGCAGGUGCGAAAGCAGGUCAUAGUGAUCCGGUGGUUCUGAAUGGAAGGGCCAUCGCUCAACGGAUAAAAGGUACUCCGGGGAUAACAGGCUGAUACCGCCCAAGAGUUCAUAUCGACGGCGGUGUUUGGCACCUCGAUGUCGGCUCAUCACAUCCUGGGGCUGAAGUAGGUCCCAAGGGUAUGGCUGUUCGCCAUUUAAAGUGGUACGCGAGCUGGGUUUAGAACGUCGUGAGACAGUUCGGUCCCUAUCUGCCGUGGGCGCUGGAGAACUGAGGGGGGCUGCUCCUAGUACGAGAGGACCGGAGUGGACGCAUCACUGGUGUUCGGGUUGUCAUGCCAAUGGCACUGCCCGGUAGCUAAAUGCGGAAGAGAUAAGUGCUGAAAGCAUCUAAGCACGAAACUUGCCCCGAGAUGAGUUCUCCCUGACUCCCUGAGAGUCCUGAAGGAACGUUGAAGACGACGACGUUGAUAGGCCGGGUGUGUAAGCGCAGCGAUGCGUUGAGCUAACCGGUACUAAUGAACCGUGAGGCUUAACCUU
rnacentral:rRNA from 1 species